rnacentral:rRNA from 1 species
UACGUAGGGUGCGAGCGUUGUCCGGAAUUACUGGGCGUAAAGAGCUCGUAGGUGGUUUGUCGCGUUGUUCGUGAAAACUCACAGCUCAACUGUGGGCGUGCGGGCGAUACGGGCAGACUAGAGGUAUGCAGGGGAGAACGGAAUUCCUGGUGUAGCGGUGAAAUGCGUAGAUAUCGUGAGGAACACCAGAGGCGAAGGCGGUUUCCUGGACAGUUACUGACGCUCAGGCACGAAAGCAUGGGGAGCAAAAGGG